rnacentral:rRNA from 1 species
UACGUAGGGUGCAAGCGUUAAUCGGAAUUACUGGGCGUAAAGCGUGCGCAGGCGGUUUUGUAAGUCUGUCGUGAAAUCCCCGGGCUCAACCUGGGAAUUGCGAUGGAGACUGCAAGGCUUGAAUCUGGCAGAGGGGGGUAGAAUUCCACGUGUAGCAGUGAAAUGCGUAGAGAUGUGGAGGAACACCGAUGGCGAAGGCAGCCCCCUGGGUCAAGAUUGACGCUCAUGCACGAAAGCGUGGGGAGCAAACAGG